GGGCAUGUGGUGUAGUUGGUUAUCACGCUCGCUUAGCACCUCGUGAGCAUGCGAGAGGGGUCCGGUUCAAUCCCGGACAUGUCCA
rnacentral:tRNA from 1 species